rnacentral:rRNA from 1 species
AGAGCGAACGCUGGCGGCGUGCUUAACACAUGCAAGUCGAACGAGGGCUGUAGCAAUACAGCUACUCGUGGCGAACGGGUGCGUAACACGUGGAUAACCUUACUUCAGGUGGGGAAUAACCCAGUGAAAAUUGGGCUAAUACCGCAUAACAAUGCGAGGGCACAUGCCCUUGCUUUCAAAGGCGCAAGUCGCCAGAAGAGGGAUCCGCGGCCGAUUAGCUUGUUGGCGGGGUAAUGGCCCACCAAGGCAUUGAUCGGUAGCCGGACUGAGAGGUUGGCCGGCCACACUGGAACUGAGACACGGUCCAGACUCCUACGGGAGGCAGCAGUGGGGAAUCUUGCACAAUGGGCGAAAGCCUGAUGCAGCAACGCCGCGUGGGGGAUGAAGCUUCUCGGAGUGUAAACCCCUUUCGACCGGAAGAAUGCCCGCAAGGGUUGACGGUACGGGUAUAAGAAGCCCGGCUAACUACGUGCCAGCAGCCGCGGU